rnacentral:rRNA from 1 species
GACGAACGCUGGCGGUGUGCUUAACACAUGCAAGUCGAACGGUAAGGCCCUUUCGGGGGUCCACGAGUGGCGAACGGGUGAGUAACACGUGAGUAACCUGCCCUCAUCUCUGGGAUAACAGUCGGAAACGGUUGCUAAUACUGGAUAUGAGCCUGCAAGGCAUCUUGUGGGUUGGAAAGAUUUUUUGGUUGGGGAUGGACUCGCGGCCUAUCAGCUUGUUGGUGAGGUAGUGGCUCACCAAGGCUUCGACGGGUAGCCGGCCUGAGAGGGCGACCGGCCACAUUGGGACUGAGAUACGGCCCAAACUCCUACGGGAGGCAGCAGUGGGGAAUAUUGCACAAGGGACGGAAGUCUGAUGCAGCAACGCCGCGGGCGGGAUGACGGCCUUCGGGUUGUAAACCGCUUUCAAUUGUGACGAAGCUUUUUGUGACGGUAGCAGUAGAAGAAGCACCGGCUAACUACGUG